rnacentral:rRNA from 1 species
GACGAACGCUGGCGGCGUGCUUAACACAUGCAAGUCGAGCGGUAAGGCCCUUUCGGGGUACGACGAGCGGCGAACGGGUGAGUAACACGUGGGUGACCUGCCUCUAGCUCUGGGAUAAGCCCGGGAAACUGGUCUAAUACUGGAUAUGACUCCAUGACGCAUGUUGUGGGGUGGAAAGCCUUGUGCGGCUAGAGAUGGGCCCGCGG